rnacentral:rRNA from 1 species
UACGUAUGGUGCAAGCGUUAUCCGGAUUUACUGGGUGUAAAGGGAGCGCAGGCGGUUCUGCAAGUCUGAUGUGAAAGCCCGGGGCUCAACCGCGGAACUGCAUUUGAAACUGUGCUUCUUGAGUGCUGGAGAGGCAGACGGAAUUCCUAGUGUAGCGGUGAAAUGCGUAGAUAUUAGGAGGAACACCGGUGGCGAAGGCGGCCUGCUGGACGACAACUGACGCUGAGGCUCGAAAGCGUGGGGAGCAAACAGG